rnacentral:rRNA from 1 species
AACGAACGCUGGCGGCGUGCCUUACACAUGCAAGUCGAACGAGAACGAAAGCUUCGGUUUUCUAUUAAAGUGGCGCACGGGUGAGUAACACGUGGGUAACCUGCCCUGUACUGGGGGACAACAUCUGGAAACGGGUGCUAAAACCGCAUAAGACUACGAAUCAUAAGGUUAGUGGUAAAAUAUUUAUAGGUACUGGAUGGGCCCGCGGGCUAUUAGCUAGUAGGUGAGGUAAUGGCUCACCUAGGCGAUGAUGGCUAGCUGGUCUGAGAGGAUGAUCAGCCACACUGGAACUGAGACACGGUCCAG